GGUUUGUUAGCUCAGUGGUAAAGAGCAUCGUGUGAUGAACACGUAGAUGAUGAGUUCAAUCCUCAAACAAGUCA
rnacentral:tRNA from 1 species